GAUGAACGCUGGCGGCGUGCUUAACACAUGCAGGUCGAACGAAGCACCUCUCCCGAAGAUUGACACAGCUUGCUGUAGAUUGAUUCAUUUGAGGUGACUGAGUGGCGGACGGGUGAGUAACGCGUGGGUAACCUGCCUCAUAGAGGGGGACAACAGUUGGAAACGACUGCUAAUACCGCAUAGUAAGAAGAAUUCGCAUGUUUUCUUCUUGAAAGAUUUAUCGCUAUGAGAUGGACCCGCGUCUGAUUAGCUAGUUGGUAAGGUAACGGCUUACCAAGGCGACGAUCAGUAGCCGGCUUGAGAGAGUGAACGGCCACAUUGGGACUGAGACACGGCCCAAACUCCUACGGGAGGCAGCAGUGGGGAAUAUUGCACAAUGGGGGAAACCCUGAUGCAGCGACGCCGCGUGAGUGAAGAAGUAUUUCGGUAUGUAAAGCUCUAUCAGCAGGGAAGAUAAUGACGGUACCUGACUAAGAAGCCCCGGCUAACUACGUG
rnacentral:rRNA from 1 species